GGCGGGGGGUACCGGGGAUCGAACUCGGGUCCUUGCGCUUGCGCAGCAGGCGGCGAAACCACUGAGCUAAAUCCCCAGCUGCAUUGCCACAUUUAAUAACACUGUUGGUGCUGUUAUUAUCUCUGUUUCAUAGUGGGUAAAUUGAGGCAUGAAGAGGCGAUUUUGUCCAUGAUGUCACUAAUAAGUGAUCUGGAAUCCACCUUUGUUCAUGUGUACGGCCUGUGUUCGUCACUACUGUGCAGAAGGGACAUCAGUUGCAUGGACUUUGUAAGGUCCAUUCUCUGUUUAGUUUGCUUUAUUCCUUCAGAUUCCUUUAGAUGAAUUAUUUUCUCAUUUUUAGGCCAGCGGAAUUGUGCUUACAGCCUCAAGAUUCAUUAGCAAAUUCUGUGAUUUGGAAUGUGUAUCAUGUGCUAGGCACUAAUAUCCCAUCUUCACGGGGGAAGAAAACACAGAAAAGCAAGUAUAUACUUAAUUUUUUUGUUUCAAUGUUGGAUACUAAGUUCAGAGACGAUACAUGCAACAAGGUAAGGUGGGUAAGAAGUAUGAGUGGUCAUAAGUGGGGCUUUACUGAAGAAGCAACAGUAGAUCUGAAGAAGCAAGAGCAUAAACAGUGCAGAUACCAAAGAUGAGAAGCGUCAUGAGGUUCUAAGGAAUUGAUAUUUAGAAAAUCUUAGAUUCGUGGACUGUGUUUCAUUUUGGGAUCCCUUGUGUAUGUUUUCUUAUUUUACGUUACUAAUGUUGUCUGGUGAAGCCUAAAGACUACUGCUUCAGUGUUAACACUCUGUGGCUGUGUACUGAUAGCAGUGGAAGGAAGUGGUCCAGAAGCCUGGAAAAGUGAUCUUGGAAUACGGUGGAUACAUCAGAAAAUAAUGUAGGUUCCAUGUUCAGUGACGUCUCAUUAUAAGCGUGAAACCAGCCCCGGAGGAAUAUUCACCCUGCAGAAACUGGCAGAUACUACAGAUAUACACACACACACACAAACUUCAAACCAAUAAGUAAGGAAUAAGGGUAGAAAUUACUGUUUCUUUUUUUGCUUGUUUUCUUUUUUUGGCUUUUGGGUGUGUGUGUGUGUGUGUGUGUGUGUGCGCGCGCUGAGGUUGAACCCAGGACCUCACAAGUGUUAGGCACACACUGUACCACUGAGCUACAUCUGCAGCCCCUUUUGUUAAUUAAACCUUUUGUUGUGUGAUAAUCAUAGAUUCCCAUACAGUUAAAAGAAAUGCAAAGAAAAAAAAAAAGAAAUGCAAAGAUACAGAAAAUCCAGUGCCUCUUUUACAGGGUUCACUCCAAUGGUGCCAUUUUGCAAAUCACAACCAGGAUACUGACAGGGGUACAGUCAAGUCCAGGACAUUUCCAUUGCCAUGGGGACCCUCCUAUUGCCCUUUAUAGCCAAACUCCCUUUCUCUCCCUUCCCCGAAUCCCCUUAGCUAAUGCCCAUUAAAUGGAAUCAUGCAGUCUGUAAUCCUUUGCAAUUGGCUUUUGUCACGCACCACGAGUAUCUGGAGACUCAUUCAAGUUGUUGUGUGUAUCAGUAAUUCAUUCUUUCUUAUUGCUGAGUCAUGCACCAUGGUAGAUGGCCCAUAGUUUUUUUAAUCAUUCACACGUUAAAGGCCAUCUGGGUUGCUUUCUUUCCAGUUUCUGGCUAUUACAGAUAAAACCAGACAGGCUUUUGUGUAUACGAGUCUCAUUUUCACAACUGGUCCUGAGGCCCUAGCUGGUAUUUAUGACUUUUCUCUUUCACUUUUUCCUCUACCUUAUUAAUAACUAACAUUAAUAGUAUUUAUUGCAUGCUGAGUGCUUUACAAGUAUCACUUAGUUCUCAUAAUUACCAUUUGAGAUAUGAAUUUUCACGCACCCCCAUAUUAACAGAUGUGGGAACUGAGGAUGAACGAG
ensembl:lncRNA